AGGUUGAGAUGAUGUCACAAUGGAAAAUGGGCCAAAGGAGUAUAUGCCAAUACUACUCAAAGUGUGGUCUGGGGUACACUGCUCAUUCAUGAAUUGUUUCUUGAUGGUCCACAAUGACGUAAAGCACGUUCUCUCCAAGAUCGUCAGAUUCCCUUUGGCCUUCAGAGAGCUGGAUUCCUGGGUAUUGGAAAAAGCCCACAGCCACGUUCAUUUCCAGUAGUCUUGAUUUGUGAACUCUUCUCUAAAAUCCACAAAAACUCCUAAGCUCUGGGGCAAAAGGAACUGUGUCUGGCUAUAAAGGAUCUGAGUUUCAGAGAGAUUAAGUGAAUUGCCCAAGCAAUUCAAUGAAACCAACCAUUCAGAUUUUCAACCAAAUUAUAUCAGACUCAACCUCUUGCUGUUUAUACCAAACCUACUAGAACUCCUUGCUCCUCAUGGAAAGAGGAAAUAGUGCCAGUCUUGGACUCAAAAGAAAAGGAGCACUAGUACAAUUAUGAGUGCCUAUGAUUCACAAGAACAGCUCUUUUAUGUUGGCUGUAAUAAUGCCAUUCUGGGUAAUGGACCAGACAGAAAGGAAGAAAACGCAGGACCAGAAGAGCCACAAACAACAUUUCAGGAUCAGCGUAACGGUUGCCAGAACAUGAAAAAUCGCAGAGCUUCCAGGCCCUGAGCCAACCUUAUUCAGGACUCAGGGGGGAAAAAACCAGUCUGGGUAAAUUCUCAGUGUAAACUCCUAGGGGAGCACAUCGCUAUGUCAGCCUAAAGAGAGGAUGAACCCCUGCACCUCUGUCUCGGCUUACUGUUAUUCCACCCCCAGAAAAAU
rnacentral:lncRNA from 1 species